rnacentral:rRNA from 1 species
AGAGUUUGAUCCUGGCUCAGGACGAACGCUGGCGGCGUGGAUUAGGCAUGCAAGUCGCGCGAUCGGAGAGCUUCGGCUCUUACGGAGCGGCGAACGGGUGAGUAACACGUGAACAAUCUGUCCCUACAUUCCGGAUAGCUGCUCGAAAGGGCUGGUAAUACGGGCGAGGAUCUUUAUUGGGCAUCCAGUGAAGAAGGAAGGUGCAAGCAUUUAUGUUUGUGUCGUGCAGGGAGGAGUUCGCGGCCUAUCAGUUAGUUGGUGGGGUAACGGCCUACCAAGACGACGACGGGUAGCUGGUCUGAGAGGAUGGUCAGCCACAUUGGAACUGAGACACUGUCCAGACUCCUACGGGAGGCUGCAGUCGAGAAUCUUGGGCAAUGCACGAAAGUGUGACCCAGCGACGCCGCGUGGAGGAUGAAGGCCCUUGGGUCGUAAACUCCUUUUAUGGAAGAAGAAUGGAGGCGAAAGCCUUCUUGACGGUACUCCAUGAAUAAGCCACGGCUAACUACGUGCCAGCAGCCGCGGUAAUACGUAGGUGGCAAGCGUUGUCCGGAUUUACUGGGCGUAAAGCGUAUGCAGGCGGAAGAGUAAGUAGGAAGUGAAAGGUCGGAGCUCAACUCCAACACUGCUCCCUAUACUGCUUUUCUUGAGUGCCGGAGAGGAAGAGGGAACUCCACGUGUAGCGGUGAAAUGCGUUGAGAUGUGGAGGAACACCAAUGGCGAAAGCACUCUUCUGGAUGGAAACUGACGCUGAGAUACGAAAGCCAAGGGAGCGAACAGGAUUAGAUACCCCGGUAGUCC